GUACUGAUGACGAGUCCCAAACUAAGACGAAACAGCUGUCCAGUAC
rfam:Trichobilharzia regenti genome assembly, scaffold: TRE_scaffold0020717